GCUUAGAGAGGGGUCAAUGUCCUAUCAGCUAGUUGGUAGGGUAAUGGCCUACCAAGGCUAAGACGGGUAGCCGGCCUGAGAGGGUGGUCGGCCACACUGGGACUGAGACACUGCCCAGACUCCUACGGGAGGCUGCAGUCGAGAAUCUUUCGCAAUGCCCGAAAGGGUGACGAAGCGACGCCGCGUGUGGGAAGAAGGCCUUCGGGUUGUAAACCACUGUCGGGAGUUAAGAAAUGUAAGGGUGUUAAUAGCAUCCUUACUUGACUAAGGCUCCGGAGGAGGCCACGGCUAACUCUGUGCCAGCAGCCGCGGUAAUACAGAGGCGGCAAGCGUUGUUCGGAAUUAUUGGGCGUAAAGAGCACGUAGGCGGCCUUGUAAGUCAGUUGUGAAAGCCUUCUGCUCAACGGAAGAACAGCAUCUGAUACUGCAAGGCUAGAGUGCGGAAGGG
rnacentral:rRNA from 1 species